rnacentral:rRNA from 1 species
UACGUAGGGGGCAAGCGUUGUCCGGAAUCAUUGGGCGUAAAGAGCGUGUAGGCGGUCCGGUCAGUCGGUUGUGAAAGUCAAGGGCUCAACCCUUGAAUGCCGGCCGAUACUGCCGGGCUAGAGUCCGGAAGAGGUGAGUGGAAUUCCUGGUGUAGCGGUGAAAUGCGCAGAUAUCAGGAGGGACACCGAUGGCGAAGGCAGUGUUCUGGGCCAGUACUGACGCUGAGGAGCGAAAGCGUGGGGAGCAAACAGG